UACGUAGGCAGCAAGCGUUGUUCGGAGUUACUGGGCGUAAAGAGUGCGUAGGCGGUUCUCUAAGUUUGGUGUGAAAUCUCCCGGCUCAACUGGGAGGGUGCGCCGAAAACUGGAGAGCUUGAGUGUGGGAGAGGCAAGCGGAAUUCCUGGUGUAGCGGUGAAAUGCGUAGAUAUCAGGAGGAACACCGGUGGUGUAGACGGCUUGCUGGACCACUACUGACGCUGAGGCACGAAAGCGUGGGGAGCAAACAGG
rnacentral:rRNA from 1 species